AAGUCGUAACAAGGUUUCCGUAGGUGAACCUGCGGAAGGAUCAUUAAUGAGUUAGGGUCUUCCAGGCCCGAUCUCCAACCCUUUGUUUAACCACCACGUUGCUUUGGCGGGCCCGUCUGUAACCGGACCGCCGGGGGUUUUCAACCCUUGGCCAGUGCUCGUCAGUAGCCCACAACAAACUCUUUUUAAACAUGUUAAAUCUGAAAAUAGUUAAAUAAACUAAAACUUUCAACAACGGAUCUCUUGGUUCUG
rnacentral:misc_RNA from 1 species